rnacentral:rRNA from 1 species
AUUGAACGCUGGCGGUAUGCUUAACACAUGCAAGUCGAACGGUAACAGGCCUAGCUUGCUAGGUGCUGACGAGUGGCGGACGGGUGAGUAACGCGAGGGAAUCUGCCUUAUUGUGGGGGAUAACCUGGGGAAACUCAGGCUAAUACCGCAUGAGCCCUAAGGGGGAAAGGAUGGGACCGAAAGGCCAUUCGCGAUAAGAUGAGCCUGCGUUGGAUUAGCUAGUUGGUGGGGUAAAGGCCUACCAAGGCGAGGAGCCAUAGCUGGUCUGAGAGGGCGGGUAGGCAGACUGGGACUGAGAAACGGCCCAGACUCCAACGGGCGGCAGCAGUGGGGAAUAUUGGACAAUGGGGGCAACCCCGAUCCAGCAAUACCGCGUGUGUGAAGAAGGCCUGCGGGUUGUAAAGCACUUUCAGUGGGGAGGAAGAGCUCGGUGCUAAUAGUAUCGAGUUGAGACGUUACCCACAGAAGAAGCACCGGCUAACUCUGUGCCAGCCGCCGCUGUAA